rnacentral:rRNA from 1 species
UUGGACGGUCAUAGGGGCGUGGUGCUACCGGUACCCAUUUCGAACACCGAAGUCAAGAACGCUUCCGUACCUAGCUGUACUGCGGUAAUCGUGGGAACCUAGGUAAGCUGUCCUCC